UACGUAGGGUGCAAGCGUUAAUCGGAAUUACUGGGCGUAAAGCGUGCGCAGGCGGUUGUGUAAGACGGAUGUGAAAUCCCCGGGCUCAACCUGGGAACUGCAUUUGUGACUGCACAGCUGGAGUGCGGCAGAGGGGGAUGGAAUUCCGCGUGUAGCAGUGAAAUGCGUAGAUAUGCGGAGGAACACCGAUGGCGAAGGCAAUCCCCUGGGCCUGCACUGACGCUCAUGCACGAAAGCGUGGGGAGCAAACAGG
rnacentral:rRNA from 1 species